GCCUACGGCCACACCGGACUGAACAUGCCCGCUCCCGUCCAAUCUCAGAAGCUAAGCGGUCCUGGACCCGGCUAGUACCUGGAUGGGAUUUUAUAUCAUUUUAUUGUAAGCU
rnacentral:rRNA from 1 species